rnacentral:snoRNA from 1 species
CAAACUUGUGGACGGACUUACAGACAGGUGCAAAAACUAAAUCCUCUUUUGCAACCCAGAACUCAGUGUACAAUAUGAGUUUUGAUACAUAUAAGAACGAAUAUG